AUUGAACGCUGUCGGCAGGCCUAACACAUGCAAGUCGAGCGAGCGGCGGACGGGUGAGUAAUGUAUGGGAAACUGCCCGAUAGAGGGGGAUAACUACUGGAAACGGUAGCUAAUACCGCAUACCAUCGGAUGUGCCCAUAUGGGAUUAGCUAGUAGGUGGGGUAAAGGCGCACCUAGGCGACGAUCCCUAGCUGGGCUGAGAGGAUGAUCAGCCACACUGGAACUGAGACACGGCCCAGACUCCUACGGGAGGCAGCAGUGGGGAAUAUUGCACAAUGGGCGCAAGCCUGAUGCAGCCAUGCCGCGUGUAUGAAGAAGGCCUUAGGGUUGUAAAGUACUUUCAGCGGGGAGGCGUUACCCGCAGAAGAAGCACCGGCUAACUCCGUGCCAGCAGCCGCGGUAAUUC
rnacentral:rRNA from 1 species